rnacentral:rRNA from 1 species
UGCGCAGGCGGGAAAUUAAGUCAGUGGUGAAAUCCUGCAGCUUAACUGUAGAAUUGCCAUUGAAACUGAUUUUCCUGAGUACAGUUGAGGUGGGCGGAAUGUGUAAUGUAGCGGUGAAAUGCUUAGAUAUUACACAGAACACCGAUUGCGUAGGCAGCUCACUAAACUGUUACUGACGCUCAGGCACGAAAGCGUGGGGAGCGAACAGGAUUAGAUACCCUGGUAGUCC